UAGGGAAUCUUCCACAAUGGACGCAAGUCUGAUGGAGCAACGCCGCGUGAGUGAAGAAGGUUUUCGGAUCGUAAAGCUCUGUUGUUGGUGAAGAAGGAUAGAGGCAGUAACUGGUCUUUAUUUGACGGUAAUCAACCAGAAAGUCACGGCUAACUACGUGCCAGCAGCCGCGGUAAUACGUAGGUGGCAAGCGUUGUCCGGAUUUAUUGGGCGUAAAGCGAGCGCAGGCGGAAUGAUAAGUGUGAUGUGAAAGCCCACGGCUCAACCGUGGAACUGCAUCGGAAACUGUCAUUCUUGAGUGCAGAAGAGGAGAGUGGAAUUCCAUGUGUAGCGGUGGAAUGCGUAGAUAUAUGGAAGAACACCAGUGGCGAAGGCGGCUCUCUGGUCUGCAACUGACGCUGAGGCUCGAAAGCAUGGGUAGCGAACAGG
rnacentral:rRNA from 1 species